AGUCGGGUCCUAAGCUGAGGCCGACAGGCGUAGGCGAUGGAUAACAGGUUGAUAUUCCUGUACCACCUAUAAUCGUUUUAAUCGAUGGGGGGACGCAGUAGGAUAGGCGAAGCGUGCGAUUGGAUUGCACGUCUAAGCAGUAAGGCUGAGUAUUAGGCAAAUCCGGUACUCGUUAAGGCUGAGCUGUGAUGGGGAGAAGACAUUGUGUCUUCGAGUCGUUGAUUUCACACUGCCGAGAAAAGCCUCUAGAUAGAAAAUAGGUGCCCGUACCGCAAACCGACACAGGUAGUCAAGAUGAGAAUUCUAAGGUGAGCGAGCGAACUCUCGUUAAGGAACUCGGCAAAAUGACCCCGUAACUUCGGGAGAAGGGGUGCUCUUUAGGGUUAACGCCCAGAAGAGCCGCAGUGAAUAGGCCCAAGCGACUGUUUAUCAAAAACACAGGUCUCUGCUAAACCGUAAGGUGAUGUAUAGGGGCUGACGCCUGCCCGGUGCUGGAAGGUUAAGAGGAGUGGUUAGCUUCUGCGAAGCUACGAAUCGAAGCCCCAGUAAACGGCGGCCGUAACUAUAACGGUCCUAAGGUAGCGAAAUUCCUUGUCGGGUAAGUUCCGACCCGCACGAAAGGCGUAACGAUUUGGGCACUGUCUCAACGAGAGACUCGGUGAAAUCAUAGUACCUGUGAAGAUGCAGGUUACCCGCGACAGGACGGAAAGACCCCGUGGAGCUUUACUGUAGCCUGAUAUUGAAAUUCGGCACAGCUUGUACAGGAUAGGUAGGAGCCUUUGAAACGUGAGCGCUAGCUUACGUGGAGGCGCUGGUGGGAUACUACCCUAGCUGUGUUGGCUUUCUAACCCGCACCACUUAUCGUGGUGGGAGACAGUGUCAGGCGGGCAGUUUGACUGGGGCGGUCGCCUCCUAAAAGGUAACGGAGGCGCUCAAAGGUUCCCUCAGAAUGGUUGGAAAUCAUUCAUAGAGUGUAAAGGCAUAAGGGAGCUUGACUGCGAGACCUACAAGUCGAGCAGGGUCGAAAGACGGACUUAGUGAUCCGGUGGUUCCGCAUGGAAGGGCCAUCGCUCAACGGAUAAAAGCUACCCCGGGGAUAACAGGCUUAUCUCCCCCAAGAGUUCACAUCGACGGGGAGGUUUGGCACCUCGAUGUCGGCUCAUCGCAUCCUGGGGCUGUAGUCGGUCCCAAGGGUUGGGCUGUUCGCCCAUUAAAGCGGUACGCGAGCUGGGUUCAGAACGUCGUGAGACAGUUCGGUCCCUAUCCGUCGUGGGCGUAGGAAAUUUGAGAGGAGCUGUCCUUAGUACGAGAGGACCGGGAUGGACAUACCUCUGGUGUACCAGUUGUCGUGCCAACGGCAUAGCUGGGUAGCUAUGUGUGGACGGGAUAAGUGCUGAAAGCAUCUAAGCAUGAAGCCCCCCUCAAGAUGAGAUUUCCCAACUUCGGUUAUAAGAUCCCUCAAAGAUGAUGAGGUUAAUAGGUUCGAGGUGGAAGCAUGGUGACAUGUGGAGCUGACGAAUACUAAUCGAUCGAAGACUUAAUCAA
rnacentral:rRNA from 1 species